GAAGGUCACGGCGAGACGAGCCGUUUAUCAUUACGAUAGGUGUCAAGUGGAAGUGCAGUGAUGUAUGCAUCCUAACAGACCGAUAGACUUGAAC
rnacentral:rRNA from 1 species